rnacentral:misc_RNA from 1 species
UACGGAGGGUGCAAGCGUUGUCCGGAUUUAUUGGGUUUAAAGGGUGCGUAGGCGGCGUAAUAAGUCAGUGGUGAAAGCCGGCAGCUCAACUGUCGAGGUGCCAUUGAAACUGUUAUGCUUGAGUACAGACGAGGUAGGCGGAAUUUAUGAUGUAGCGGUGAAAUGCAUAGAUAUCAUAAAGAACACCGAUAGCGAAGGCAGCUUACUAGGCUGUAACUGACGCUGAGGCACGAAAGCAUGGGGAGCAAACAGG